rnacentral:tRNA from 1 species
UCUGAUAUAGCUCAGUGGUAGAGCGUCCGGCUCGAUUACCGGAUGGACGUAGGUUCGAGCCCUACUAUCAGACCA